GAUGAACGCUGGCGGCGUGCCUAAUACAUGCAAGUCGAGCGAACAGACGAGGAGCUUGCUCCUCUGACGUUAGCGGCGGACGGGUGAGUAACACGUGGAUAACCUACCUAUAAGACUGGGAUAACUUCGGGAAACCGGAGCUAAUACCGGAUAAUAUAUUGAACCGCAUGGUUCAAUAGUGAAAGACGGUUUUGCUGUCACUUAUAGAUGGAUCCGCGCCGCAUUGUCUAGUUGGGAAGGUAACGGCUUACCAAGGCGACGAUGCGUACCCGACGUGAGGGAGUGAUCGCCCACCCUAGAACUGGGCCACCCUCCAUACGCCUGCGGGAGGCCCCAGUCGGGAACCUUCCGCAAUGGGGGAAAGCCUGACGCAACAACGCCGCGUGAGUGAUAAAGGUCUCCGGUUCGUAACACUCGGUUAUUGGGGAAAAACAAAUUUUUAAGUAAAUAUGCCCGACUUGACGGUACCUAAACAGAAAGCCCCGGCUAACUACGUG
rnacentral:rRNA from 1 species